AGGAGGAUCACCUGCUUUAGGAUCACAGGAAACUUCAGCCACAGUGAACUGGAUGUGGUGGUGGUGGUGGUGGUGGGGUGCUAUUCUAAUUAUAUGUUGGCAAGACAGUUCUGACUAAUGUUGGAAGGCAUUAAUGCAGAGAAGCUGAACUUCAUCCAGCAGAGUUUCCUGGUCAUGUUAGCCUCCCAGAAGAGAACCUACUUUUGUUUCACAUUCUUGCUCUCCAGGAAAGCAGACAGGGAGCAUUUCAGUAUCAGCACUUUUCACCCAUGCAGCGUGUCUUUUUAGGCCAAAGGAGAUAAAUCAUCCCAGGAACAUAUAUAUUAUUUGCUUUGUGGAGAGGCUCAUGGGUGAAGAUGUAGAUUGGAGAAAUUUCUUCAAACAAGAAAGGGAUAGAGACACUACAGGGGGAUCAAAGUUUGAGAAGACAAAGGAAGAAGGUUCAGGUGACAGGAAUUGAAAAGAGAGUCUGGGCGAUUUCAAAAAAAGAGAAAAGGGAUAGGAGAGAGGAGGGAAAGAAUUUUUAAGAUCUGUUGUGUCCUCUAUUGAGUAAUUCCUCUCUCCCUACAAAACCCCACAAAACCUUGAGUAAAAUUCAGUUGUUGGUCUGUGCUUUUGAAGGAUUUCUAUUUGUUUAUGACUCUGUAUGUAUGUAUGUGGCUUUAAAGUGUCAAUGGAUAUGAAAGAGUGGAAACCGGAGUUUUAACAGAAGCGGGGAUAUAGUAAGAGGCCAAGUGUGGCCGGGUGGUUCGUUCAGGUAGGAAGAAGUAUUCUAUUAGGGACA
rnacentral:lncRNA from 12 species